rnacentral:rRNA from 1 species
GAGUUUGAUCGUGGCUCAGAUUGAACGCUGGCGGCAUGCCUUACACAUGCAAGUCGAACGGCAGCAUGAUCUAGCUUGCUAGAUUGAUGGCGAGUGGCGAACGGGUGAGUAAUACAUCGGAACGUGCCCUGUAGUGGGGGAUAACCUAGUCGAAAGAUUAGCUAAUACCGCAUACGACCUGAGGGUGAAAGUGGGGGACCGCAAGGCCUCAUGCUAUAGGAGCGGCCGAUGUCUGAUUAGCUAGUUGGUGGGGUAAAGGCCCACCAAGGCGACGAUCAGUAGCUGGUCUGAGAGGGCGAUCAGCCACACUGGGACUGAGACACGGCCCAGACUCCUACGGGAGGCAGCAGUGGGGAAUUUUGGACAAUGGGCGAAAGCCUGAUCCAGCAAUGCCGCGUGUGUGAAGAAGGCCUCGGUGUAAG